rnacentral:rRNA from 1 species
AGAGUUUGAUCCUGGCUCAGGAUGAACGCUGGCGGCGUGCUUAACACAUGCAAGUCGAACGGGAAACCUUUUAUUGAAGCUUCGGCAGAUUUAGAUUGUUUCUAGUGGCGGACGGGUGAGUAACGCGUGGGUAACCUGCCUUGUACAGGGGGAUAACAGUCAGAAAUGACUGCUAAUACCGCAUAAGCGCACAGGACCGCAUGGUCCGGUGUGAAAAACUCCGGUGGUAUAAGAUGGACCCGCGUUGGAUUAGCUAGUUGGUGGGGUAACGGCCCACCAAGGCGACGAUCCAUAGCCGGCCUGAGAGGGUGAACGGCCACAUUGGGACUGAGACACGGCCCAGACUCCUACGGGAGGCAGCAGUGGGGAAUAUUGCACGAUGGGGGAAACCCUGAUGCAGCGACGCCGCGUGAAGGAAGAAGUAUCUCGGUAUGUAAACUUCUAUCAGCAGGGAAGAGAUUGACGGUACCUGACUAAGAAGCCCCGGCUAACUACGUGCCAGCAGCCGCGGU